AGAUGAGCAUUGGGUGUAAAGCGUGCGCAGGCGGUUCGGAAAGAAAGAUGUGAAAUCCCAGAGCUUAACUUUGGAACUGCAUUUUUAACUACCGAGCUAGAGUGUGUCAGAGGGAGGUGGAAUUCCGCGUGUAGCAGUGAAAUGCGUAGAUAUGCGGAGGAACACCGAUGGCGAAGGCAGCCUCCUGGGAUAACACUGACGCUCAUGCACGAAAGCGUGGGGAGCAAACAGGAUUAGAUACCCUGGUAGUCCACGCCCUAAACGAUGUCAACUAGCUGUUGGGGCCUUCGGGCCUUGGUAGCGCAGCUAACGCGUGAAGUUGACCGCCUGGGGAGUACGGUCGCAAGAUUAAACUUAAAAAUUAGUACGG
rnacentral:rRNA from 1 species